rnacentral:rRNA from 1 species
AACGAACGCUGGCGGCGUGGAUAAGACAUGCAAGUCGAACGGGAUUACUUCUAGUAGCAAUACCUGAAGUAAUUUAGUGGCGAACGGGUGCGUGACACGUGGGGAAUCUGCUGAGAAGUGGGGGAUAGCUCGUCGAAAGGCGAAUUAAUACCGCAUACGAUCAGGGAAGACAUCUUUCCAACAUCAAAGUCGGGGCAACCUGGCGCUUCUUGAUGACCCCGCGGCCUAUCAGCUAGUUGGUGAGGUAACGGCCCACCAAGGCUAUGACGGGUAGCUGGUCUGAGAGGACGACCAGUCACACUGGGAACUGAGACACGGUCCAGACACCUACGGGUGGCAGCAGUCGAGAAUUUUUUCUCAGUGGGGGCAACCCUGAAGGAGCGACGCCGCGUGGAGGAUGAUGGC